rnacentral:tRNA from 1 species
GGGGGUGUAGCUCAGUUGGUAGAGCGCUUGAAUGGCAUUCAAGAGGUAACGGGUUCAACUCCCGUCACCUCCA